UAAGCUUCAAACUGGGAUUAGAUACCCCACUAUUCUUGAUUGUAAAUAUAAUUAAAUUUACCAGAGUACUAAGAAUGUUUUAAAAAUUUAAAACUCAAAGGGCUUGGCGGUGUUUUAGACCUAUCAGGGGAACCUGUCUCGUAAUCGACAAUCCACGUUAUACCUAACCUUAUUUUGUAAUUCAGUUUGUAUACCGUCGUCGUCAGGUAACUUUUAAAAACAUAGAAGUUAGCGGUAAAAAUUUUGUAAAUUAAGACGUCAGAUCAAGGUGCAGCCUAUAAUAAGGAGAGGAUGGGUUACAAUUAUUAAAAUUAUAAUUACGGAAGUUUAAAUGAAAGCGUUUUCAGAAGGAGGACUUGAAAGUAAAAUUAAAAUAUCUAAAUAAAUUGAAUAAGGCUCUGAAACGUGCACACACCGCCCGUCACCCUCUGCAGUCAAAUAUA
rnacentral:rRNA from 1 species